rnacentral:rRNA from 1 species
AAUCAACGCUGGCGGCGCGCUUAACACAUGCAAGUCGCACGAGAAAGUGGAGCAAUCCAUGAGUACAGUGGCGUACGGGUGAGUAACACGUGGGUAAUCUACCUCUUAGUGGGGAAUAACUCUGGGAACCGGAGCUAAUACCGCAUAAGCCUGGAAAGGGAAAGCAGCAAUGCGCUGAGAGAGGAGCCCGCGGCCGAUUAGCUAGUUGGUAGGGUAAAAGCCUACCAAGGCAAUGAUCGGUAGCCGGCCUGAGAGGGCACACGGCCACACUGGCACUGAAACACGGGCCAGACUCCUACGGGAGGCAGCAGUGGGGAAUCUUGCACAAUGGGGGCGAACCCUGAUGCAGCGACGCCGCGUGAGCGAUGAAGCCCUCGGGUGUAAAGCUCUUUCGGCAGGAACGAUAAUGACGGUACCUGAAGAAGAAGCUGCGGCUAACUACGUGCCA